GAAAAUCUGCGCUGCGCACAAAAAAAAAUAAUCCAACCUAAAUUGUAAAUAAAAUAAACACGUAACAAUUCAUUCUGUGCUAUUUUUCAAUGUGAGUCAGUGAGUGACCGGUGACUGGCUGCUGCAGCCAAUGAUGCGAUUCACAUACGUAUUUACCAUAGACUGUAUAUAAUGGUAUUUACGCAGCUAAUCAACGUCAGGCGUCCUUAUGUGCAGCCAUCGUUGUUCUCAUAGAUAUGAAUGAGUAGAUAGGACACGCCCCUUUGAGCUGCGUGCUACAGCAAGGCUAAGCUAGUGGGGGAAAAGUUUCAGUGCAUUCCGUUGAUGUAGACGGCGUGAAAACGUAAACAACAAGUAUGCCGGCUCACUGUGCUGCAUACAGUUACACACUACGUCGUACGAUUGAGACAAGGAAACUUGGAAUGACUUUUCAUAGGUUUCCCAGAGACUAUGGGUUGAGGAGGAAUUGGAAGUUUGUCGGCUUAGACCUGGUGUCAUUCCAUCAGUGUUAAACUUCCCGGCUCAUCUUGGAAGAGUACGUGCCAGAAAGACCACGACCAAGCAGCCUUGAGAUCUUAGACAGCGUCUCCCUGAGGUCCCUCUCUAUCUCCCCACACAUCCACCAACCACUGGAACACAUCUCCAAAGUUCUGCUGGACCAGCUCAGCUUCCCCUCAGAAGAAGUGGUGCCACCUGCCAGAUGAAGGAGCCUUUUGAGAGGCAGCUGGCAUCGUGAUUGGACUGUACUUUGGUCUGUUCCAAUCCAGCUUCAGCUCCAGAGACGGCAGGCGGGACGAGUCAACGGAGGCCGGAUGGACGAAGGUAUGCAGCUGAGUACAAUCCAGAAAACAGCAGAGGAGUAGUGCAGCAGCCCAGAGCCAGAACAAGCAGAACCAAAGAACUACAGACUCUUCACAACCUGCUCAAACUCUUGGUACAGGACCUCACCACACGGGUCAAGAAGGUUUCCGUCUCAUUUCUACUCUGAAGCUCACCUUCUCCUGCUCAAACUGCUGACAAAUGUUUCUGCUGCUCUAAAGUCUGGUCUCCAGAACUUCCUAAAAACUCUCAAAGUCUCUUCUGCUGCAGACUGCUUUGUAGAACUGUUCCAGAAAACCUCACUAAACCACACGGAGGAGCCUCAAGAUAGUCGUCCAAAUGAACCUGUACAAAAACCAAACUAGCACAACCCAAACGCUAAAGUCUCCUGCAGCCUACCAGAGAAGCUCUGAGAACAGAGAAUCAGGACAGGAACUCUUACCUUCUGGACAACCAACGUUGGUUCUCAAAGAAGAAUACAGAAUGUGUCUGACCAAAAACCUCUCAAGACUCACUACAGCCAAGAUAAAGACACAACUCACCUGCACCAAAUCCACUAAUCACUGCACACAUUAGUACCAUGUGCUAACUGUGGCUAAAGAACCACAUUUACCAAGACAACUAUCCAGUACAAAGCCCUGAAACACACCAAGAAACACAUUAAAGAUGAUUUUACUGCUGGAAGCUGCAAGCCAACGCCUAAAGAACAAACUAAAGCAAAGGAGUCAAACCCGGUUCAGUAGUGAAGAGAAACAGAGGAAAUGUUGGUCUGCAGCUAAAUAAAGCAGGAAGACACUGAGCUGCUCAGGUGUUCCUGAUAACACCAAGCUGCUCAGGUGUUCCUGAUAACACCAAGCAGCCACCUGGACAGCCAAUAGGAACACAGCUUCCUGGAAGUCCAGAGGGCUGGGUUAGUGAAUGAAAUUUAAUUUAAAGUUGAAGCAGAAAGUUAACAAAGAAAGUUGAAAACCACCUUCUGAUACCUGAAAUCUCUGAGUUUUCACACAAAGAACACCUGAACAUGUCAAACUGGUUCCACAGUAGAACCAUCAUUGUAAAAACGUCAUAGUAUGGUGUGUUGCUCAAAAAACAUUAGGACCCGGCUGUCAGGGGACAAACAUGUAAGAAACAUGAGAACAGAGAGAACCCAACCAGUAGGUCACAGUUUAUCAUCCCCCAGUCAUCUCCUGAAGUCCAUAUGGUGAGAGACAUCAGGAUCUGGUUGUUAAUUUACCAGAGGAUGCUUAUAAUCAUGCUGAUGUGGUCUGUACUCUACAGUAUUUUAGUGACUCAAUAAAUGCCUAAGUUGUUUUUUUUUUAAUGCUUUUCAGUUUUUAAUAAACAUUUAACAGCCUAUAUGUAAUCAAUAAAUGGCCUUUGCCUAUCUUAAGAAAAACUCACUCAGAACUCUGAUAUGUUAACAAUACUAAAUAAAUCAAUAAAUACAUGCAUACACACAAAAAUAAGUUAAUACAUUAACUGUGUUAAGAUAAGAUUUAGAUUUUUAAAAAAGUUGUUUAUGUUUUUGCAGAAUCCAGUAUUGCCCACUGGUUGGUCAUUACAUUUUGUUAGUUUGAUUUCACUGUUUAAAAUGAUGCCACCUCUUUUCAGACAGAACCUGUGAUAAUAAAACAAUACAAAAUUUUUA